GCAAGUCGACGAGUUCUCGUUGAUGAUCGGUGCUUGCACCGAGAUUCAACAUGGCACGAGUGGCGGACGGGUGAGUAACACGUGGGUAACCUGCCCUUAAGUGGGGGAUAACAUUUGGAAACAGAUGCUAAUACCGCAUAGAUCCAAGAACCGCAUGGUUCUUGGCUGAAAGAUGGCGUAAGCUAUCGCUUUUGGAUGGACCCGCGGCGUAUUAGCUAGUUGGUGAGGUAAUGGCUCACCAAGGCGAUGAUACGUAGCCGAACUGAGAGGUUGAUCGGCCACAUUGGGACUGAGACACGGCCCAAACUCCUACGGGAGGCAGCAGUAGGGAAUCUUCCACAAUGGACGCAAGUCUGAUGGAGCAACGCCGCGUGAGUGAAGAAGGCUUUCGGGUCGUAAAACUCUGUUGUUGGAGAAGAAUGGUCGGCAGAGUAACUGUUGUCGGCGUGACGGUAUCCAACCAGAAAGCCACGGCUAACUACGUGCCAGCAGCCGCGGUAAUACGUAGGUGGCAAGCGUUAUCCGGAUUUAUUGGGCGUAAAGCGAGCGCAGGCGGUUUUUUAAGUCUGAUGUGAAAGCCCUCGGCUUAACCGAGGAAGCGCAUCGGAAACUGGGAAACUUGAGUGCAGAAGAGGACAGUGGAACUCCAUGUGUAGCGGUGAAAUGCGUAGAUAUAUGGAAGAACACCAGUGGCGAAGGCGGCUGUCUGGUCUGUAACUGACGCUGAGGCUCGAAAGCAUGGGUAGCGAACAGGAUUAGAUACCCUGGUAGUCCAUGCCGUAAACGAUGAAUGCUAGGUGUUGGAGGGUUUCCGCCCUUCA
rnacentral:rRNA from 1 species